AUUGAACGCUGGCGGCAUGCCUUACACAUGCAAGUCGAACGGUAACGCGGGGCAACCUGGCGACGAGUGGCGAACGGGGGAGUAAUGCAUCGGAACGUGCCCAGUAGUGGGGGAUAACUGCUCGAAAGAGCAGCUAAUACCGCAUACGACCUGAGGGUGAAAGCGGGGGAUCGCAAGACCUCGCGCUAUUGGAACGGCCGAUGUCAGAUUAGGUAGUUGGUGGGGUAAAGGCCCACCAAGCCAACGAUCUGUAGCUGGUCUGAGAGGACGACCAGCCACACUGGGACUGAGACACGGCCCAGACUCCUACGGGAGGCAGCAGUGGGGAAUUUUGGACAAUGGACGCAAGUCUGAUCCAGCCAUGCCGCGUGCGGGAAGAAGGCCUUCGGGUUGUAAACCGCUUUUGUCAGGGAAGAAACGCUCUGGGUUAAUACCUCGGGGUAAUGACGGUACCUGAAGAAUAAGCACCGGCUAACUACGUGCCAGCAGCCGCAGUAACAC
rnacentral:rRNA from 1 species